GACGAACGCUGGCGGCGUGCCUAAUACAUGCAAGUCGAACGCCUCUUUCCUCCCGAGUGCUUGCACUCAAUUGGAAAGAGGAGUGGCGGACGGGUGAGUAACACGUGGGUAACCUACCCAUCAGAGGGGGAUAACACUUGGAAACAGGUGCUAAUACCGCAUAACAGUUUAUGCCGCAUGGCAUAAGAGUGAAAGGCGCUUUCGGGUGUCGCUGAUGGAUGGACCCGCGGUGCAUUAGCUAGUUGGUGAGGUAACGGCUCACCAAGGCCACGAUGCAUAGCCGACCUGAGGGGGUGAUCGGCCACACUGGGACUGAGGCACGGCCCAGACUCGUACGGGAGGCAGAAGUAGGGAAUCUUCGGCAAUGGACGGAAGUCUGACCGAGCAACGCCGCGUGAGUGAAGAAGGUUUUCGGAUCGUAAAACUCUGUUGUUAGAGAAGAACAAGGACGUUAGUAACUGAACGUCCCCUGACGGUAUCUAACCAGAAAGCCACGGCUAACUACGUGCCAGCCGCCGCGGUAA
rnacentral:rRNA from 1 species